AUUGAACGCUGGCGGCAGGCCUAAUACAUGCAAGUCGAGCGGAGCGGCGGACGGGUGAGUAAUGCCUAGGAAUCUGCCUGGUAGUGGGGGAUAACGUCCGGAAACGGGCGCUAAUACCGCAUACUAUCAGAUCAGCCUAGGUCGGAUUGGCUAGUGGGGGGGGAAAAGGCCUACCAAGGCGACGAUCCAUAACUGGACUGCGAGGAUGAUCAGUCACACGGGAACUGAGACACGGUCCAGACUCCUACGGGAGGCAGCAGUGGGGAAGAUUGGACAAUGGGCGAAAGCCUGAUCCAGCCACGCCGCGUGUGUGAAGAAGGUUUUCGGAUUGUAAAGCACUGUAAGUUGGGAGGCGUUACCAACAGAAUAAGCCCCGGCUAACUUCGUGCCAGCAGCCGCGGUAAUUC
rnacentral:rRNA from 1 species